GACGAACGCUGGCGGCGUGCUUAACACAUGCAAGUCGAACGGAAAGGCCCUGCUUUUGUGGGGUGCUCGAGUGGCGAACGGGUGAGUAACACGUGAGUAACCUGCCCUUGACUUUGGGAUAACUUCAGGAAACUGGGGCUAAUACCGGAUAGGAGCUCCUGCUGCAUGGUGGGGGUUGGAAAGUUUCGGCGGUUGGGGCUGGACUCGCGGGUUAUCAGCUUGUUGGUGGGGUAGUGGCUUACAAAGGCUUUGACGGGUAGCCGGCCUGGGAGGGUGACCGGCCACAUUGGGACUGCGGGAGGGCCCAGACGCCUACGGGAGGCAGCAGUGGGGAAUAUUGCACAAUGGGCGGAAGCCUGAUGCAGCAACGCCGCGUGCGGGAUGACGGCCUUCGGGUUGUAAACCGCUUUCGCCUGUGACGAAGCGUGAGUGACGGUAAUGGGUAAAGAAGCACCGGCUAACUACGUG
rnacentral:rRNA from 1 species